CUUCUAAUUCCACAAUCAUAAAUCCCAAGUUGUUUUUCAGAUGCUACUGUCCUUUAAUGCUGGGCAUGGGAGUAGGAGGAAAAGGGGAACCAGAAACAUAGGAAGUUCAUCCCUUUCGAUACUCUGACUCUAGUGCUUUCCUCUGUUCAGGGAGAAGGAGCAUCUGAAAUAAUCCCUCCCCUCAUCAGUUGGGGCUCUGCUCCCGGAACUGGGAUCACCUGGCACAGGCAGGUAGGGCACAGUCUGGAGGUCUGGAGGGCAGAGGGCAGGGCUGGGGACAAGGAAGAAGAAAUAUGCAAGGGUGGGCCGAGUGGGAGCACAGCAGGCCGUUUCCAGCUCUGAGGUCCCAGGAGGAGGCUGAGCAGGAGGGUCGCUCCUUCAUUCAAAUCCCGUCUUGAACCUGUUCCCUUCCAGACAUGGGGCAAAAGUUGAAGAGAACUGGCCAUGGUUCUGACUCAUUUUCUAGGCCUGGGGAUGAGGUGGGGGGUCAUGCUUUCUAAGGGAAAGACCAUGCUCUGGGAUGUCCACACUGAAAUACAAGUCCUGUCUCUGAGUACGGCAGAAAGUGCAGAUUGGCUUUGGCUUUUGUUGCAGCUCAAGUCCUGGUUCGGCCCCUAGCCAUGAAGGAUGCUGCGGGGUCAAAAGCAGCAGCAAGGGAGAGAUGGCAGAAGCAGUGAUGGAGAAGGUAAGUUCUUGCCUUGAGCCCCUGAUGGGGCCUGGCUGUGGGCCUCCUGAGCAAGGCCUGAUGAGGCUGGCAGAAAGAAUGGAGAUGCUCCCUGCUCUUGGCUUCCCUUCCUGCUGAGUUCCUGAGCCUCCUCUGAGAACUGUGGAGCCUGAAAAGCCCCAGAGAGGGAGGCUUGCUGGGGUCUACCAGGUUAAUUCUAGGGCAGUCCAACAGCCCAGGCAAGAGGCAGGGACAAGUGGAGAUCCACUCUAGAAUCAAGGGAUGGCUGAUAGCUUAUAGUCACACAUCAAGGGCUUCCGUUCAUUUGCUAAUUCAAUCCUCACCAUAACCCAUGGAUACUGUUUUCUUUCUUUCCAUAUUUUUAAAAUAUUUAUUUUUUAGUUAUAGGUGGACACAAUAUCUCUAUUUUAUUUUUAUGUGCUGCUGAGGAUAGAAACCAGUGCCUCAUGCAUACUAGGCCAGUGCUCUACCUCUGGGCCACAACCCCAGCCCCUUUCCAUAUUUUAUAAAUGAGGAAACACACAGGUUAAAUAAUUUGCCUAACAUUGCCUAGAUGUUAAAACAGGGGACUCAAGAAUCACCUCAAGGCCACAGAACCUAUUAGUUCAUAGCUGCUUGGCCAAAGCAGGGUUCUUUUGGUCCGGUUGUCUGCCUUUGCCAGCUCAGGAGCUAUUCUGUUAACAGACUUGUGGUCUAGGGCUGUGCUGGUGUCAGUCUGUCAUGGUGGCACUUACUUCCCAUGGCAUCUGCCUCUUCCCAGUCCCCAGAGUUCACCCAGUCAUGGGCUGCUCUGCUGAAAUGAUCAAUUAGCAAGGCUGGUUGGCUCCGUGGCAUGUCUGCCUGCAGCUGGAUGGGGGCAGCUACCAGCUUGUCUUCUGAAUGUGUCUUCUGUGUGUGUGUGUGUGUGCGCGCGCAUGUGUUCCAAAUAGGCAGUAGCAUGUGGGAAGGCAGAAAGCAUGAUGCUUGUUUUCGUCAAUGUGCUGACUGCUCAGUAAUGGUGCGGCCUCCUUUGCCCCCAGCUGCUCUGCCAUUUCUCCCUCUUUACAGCCCUGCCUGAUCCGGAGCAGAGAUAAAAGCAGAUUUCCGCUUCUGCUCCCAGAUCCAGGCGCAGACCCUGCAGGCAGCUGCUCCCAACUGUCUCACAGCCGUUAAUCUUCAAAAGCACACCCCCAACCCAAUGCAAGCAUCUUCUCCCCAGCCAGCCCCCCACUGCUGGUCCAGAAGCCAUGCCUGGCUGAGCCCUGCCCUUGGCUUUCAGGAGGAGGUGGAGGAGUAGCAGCUUCAUAUCUGAGGCAAAGGGAGAAGGUGAGAGAUGCUGCUGCUGAGAGGGAAGCCACUCUGAGGUGCUGGAGGAGGAGGCUGCCGCCUGUUGGGGGGGCCUGCUGAUGCUGCAGGGAGCCUGGCUGGGGUGUGCGCAAGAGGUUCCAUGAGAGCCUCUCAAAGUAGGGCAGGCAGGAGGCAGAGGAAGGUCACACCAGGGGAAGGAGGCUGCCAGAGCCAGAGUGCCCGUCUGACCCAGGCCUUGCGCUCUGGGCCACCUGUCUCAACUCCUGUCAGCCUGUCUUUCUUCUGGGAGGCAUGAGUCUUCCUGGUGACAGGACUGCCAGGCUGAGGUCCAGAGGGCGCCGUUCCCAGGACCCGUCUGUGUUCCCUGAUCUCAUCUUUUGCAUUCAUUCUCUAAUCUUUCUGCCAUGUUCCUGUCACCUCGUUCUUCCCUGUGCUCUGCCAUUUCCACAUUGCCUGCCUCUUUCCAGUGGUCUGAAGAAUUGUCAAGCCAAGGUCAUGGAGUAGCACCAGGGCUGGCUCCAGGCCCAGACACAUUCCCACAGGGCGGUACCCCUUUGCAGUACUGUCUAUGAGCCUGUGGAGUAGAUGGUGGUUCCUCCAAGGAUCCAUUCCAGAUUAAGGGUGGGAAAGAGAGGAAGGGGCUGCUGGCAGAAUGGGCGAGGUGAAUGCCUAGGCUUGGAGGUUGCCUGGGCCCUGGCAGCUGGGGCGCCAUGUGGGCUGGGAAGGAGGGGCUCUCUCCCCCAGGGAGCAGGCUGGCUUUGGUGGGAGCAGAUUGUGUUUACACCUUCCCCGCACACCCAGCCUACGCUCGCCUCUUAUUCCCGGGGCCUCUCCCGCCCCUGGCUGUCUGCACAAUCUGCACACUUGCAGCUCCUGCUGCAGAAAGUUGCCUCCCUCAGCCUAGGACUCCUCUACAGGAGGCUCCCGGGACCAGGCACUGCUCCUCAUACAACUGGCUCCCAUCCUAGGCUGGUGUGAAGCUUGGGUUGAGGCUGGACCUUUUAAAUCCUGACCAUCAUGCUGUCCCCACAGAGGCCAAGUCCCAUUCCCUUGAAAAGAACCUCUGCUUGGAAGUGGGAGUAGGAAUGUUUAGAGAGGGAGCUCCAAGCAACUAGAGACAGCUGAGGUGAAGAGCCAGGUGCUGGCCCUGACCAAGUAAUAAGAAAAGAUCUGGGAGCAAGAAGUCCAGAUCUGAGCCCCUGGUUCUGAACCUUGACUCUGAUGCUCUUCCUCCCUCUGUGGCCUCGGGAAGGUUACAGCAGGACUCUGUGCCUCAGUUUCCUCAUCUAUAAGAUAAAGAUAGUAGUACCUGCCUCUGAGAGUUGUUGUGAGGGUUAGUUAGACAAUGUGUGUGAAGUGCUUAGCACACUUGUGUUCCAUGUACGUAAGCUAGUGUGGUUGUGAACUGUAAACCACUGCACAUGGUAGAUUCAGAGCAGUCUGGGUUCCUCCCCUCCUCACCCCAUGGCUCUUCCUUCCCUGUCUCUCCACAUACGCAGUACUGAGCAAUGGGCAAGUUCGAAACGAAAUAGAGGAGGACAGAGGGUGGGACUGUUGGGGUGGGUGGAGCUCCUAGUAAGCCUGGACCAGAGAGGACCACCAUGUCCUCUGUGCAUCCAGAACUGUCUCAACCUCUCUGGGGCUCUGCUUCCCAAAUAAAUCUCAGAUUCUGAGGAAGACAGGAGCUGGUUGCCCUGAUGCUUCUCCUUGCUCAUCUGAAUGCUAAUCUCUCUGCUGGUGAGAGCCUGAGUGACAGGGAAAGGCUGCUCUGAGCUGCAGGGUGGCCAAGGGCAGCAGCCAGAGCAGGAGCAGGGAGCUGCUGUUGUCUGCUACUUCUAUGGCUGACAUUCAGAGUUGCUGCCAGUCUCUCUGGAGAUUGGAACAUGACCAGAGAACUAAUGAGGUGGCAUGGAGGAACAAGGAAGUAGGCAGGGCAGCUGCAGCAGCAGCUGUUACCUGGUGUCACCUGGGGUACACAUGUGGCUUUGGAGGACUACCCACCCAUCCCAAAUGGUGAUGUAUGUCUGUGUGAGCAGAACAGCCCUGAGAAGGGCAUGCAGCAGGGGUCCUGGCCCAGGACCAGAUGGGGAAGGCCUGGUGCCCAAUUUGUCGCAGGCAUGGUGGUAUAAGAGCAGUGAACCCCAUUGGUCCCACCGGGACCCAGGGCCUCUGCAGGGGCCUCACUGUUAGGAAAAAGCUUAAACCCCUGAAUUAGAGGAAAGUAAUGCCUCUUUGUGAGCCACAAAACAGGGAGAAUGGCAAAGUGGCUUACACUGAGGCUGACAUUAAUAUAAUGGUAACGACACUAAUAAUACUAUUAAUAAUGGCUAACAAGUUUCAAACACUUAUUAUGUACUAGGCACUGUGCCGAGUGCUUUGAUUACAAGCACUGUCUCAUUUAUGAAGCAGAAACUGCUGCUAUCCUCAUUUACCCAAAAAGGAAAAUGAAGUUCACAGAACUUGCUCAAGGUCACUUAUAGCUAGCAUUGAAGCCUGGGGAAUCUGAUGCCAAAGCUUGGGGCAAGGAGGACCUGAGUCUGGAGCCAGGCUGUGAGGAAAUUCCUGUCUGAACUACAAGGGCACACGGGUUGGAGCUGUGGGCUUUCCUGGCCGCACAUGGGCAAGCUUGCUGGUGCUGCCUUCUUCAGAGGCACAGCAGUCAAGGGCAGAUCAGACUCUGGGUCCUGCAAAGCUAGGCCUUGCUUGCCAGCUGAGAGGAGUGAAGAGAGCUGGCCUCCAGGUGCCCUUCCAGGAGGAGGCAGUGGCCCCUGGCAGGGAUGACAGCCAGCCAGACCAUCACUCACAGUGACUGUCACUCUGUUGCCUCCUUCAAGCAGGGACAGGACCUGGGGAGAGGACAGUACUGAAGCCCGCAGGCCAGCUGGAGAGGAGGGAGCUUGAGGAGGAAGGUUGUUUUGAUUUGUGUUUGUGGCAGAAGGGUGUGAGGCACAGAGAUAAAGGAGGUGUCCUCACCAGAGACAAACUGGAACCAAGUCUUUGUACCUAAGGACCACAGACCCUCUAUGAGAUACAUGUUCCCUCUGGUGGGGAUUAAGACUAGAGGGUGGAUACGAAAACUACAAAACAAAACAAAAGAAGAUUUCCUGAGACUCUGAGCCUAUGAGCCUGGCAGGAGGUGCCAGUCCUGCCCUUGUGUGAACCACACACUUAAUAUCAGAAUAUCCAGAAGGAGGAGCUAUGUGAACUAAUCAUUAAACUAAAUGUAUCCAUUUGACAGCUUAUUUACAAAGCAUGGUCAGUGUGUCAUGAAAUGGGAGUGUCAAAGGAAUGAAAGAGGCAGUCCCUGCUCUGCCACUUGGACCAGAGACAUCCCAGCCUAGGUAGCCUUGUUCUGCUAGUUCAGUCCUCCUGCUCAUGUGACUUGUGUCGAACCCAGGCGGGCUGGUGCUGAGAGGCAGAGGACUGAUGGCCACCUCAGGAAGGGAACCAUGUAGUGAAAUGAAGGGGAUGGAACAGCUGAUGGGGGCCCCACAGAUUCUCCCCAUAGAGAGCAAUAAUAAUGGACAGCAUCUGGAAGUGCAGACUUGCCUAUGUGACAAAUAUGGAGUGCCUGUGUGCAAGGAACCUUAGAUAAGAAGAUGAAUCAAGACCUCCUGCCACAAACAGCCAGAAAACUGGGCAAAAUAUAAGAAAUAGACAUGUGACAACAGGCAGCACCAGACAGUGAACCCACACGCACAUUAGUCCCCGCUCAGAGAAUUUCCUGACUAUGGCUCUGGGACAGGAAACUCAAGUAGGGGACAGGCUAGAUCAGAGGUCAAGAUGUGUGAUAUUCAUAAGGACAUAUGCAUACAUCAAUGGAAUCCAAAAACAGAAGCAAGAAAGGUGAUCCAAAGAAGAAAGAAAGGUCUUUUCAAUAGGAUACAGAAAGCACUAACCAUAAAGUAAAAACCAAUUAGUUGGACUUUAUCAAAAUUAAACUUUUGCUCUUGGAAAGACUGUGAGAAAAUAUAUGCCAAACAAAUAUUUGCAAACAGACUUGCAUCCAGAAUAUAUAAAGAACUUUUACAAUUUGAUAAUAAUGACACAAUUUUUUUUAAAUGGGAAAGGGGAAGGUUUUAAUGGCCACUACAUUAAAAAAUAUUGGCCAAUAAACCAAGAUCAAUAAACAUAAGAUCAGCAUCUAAAUCAUUAAGAGAAUGCAAAUCAAAAGCACAACUGAAGGCUGACCACAGGCCAAGAUGCGGAGCAACUGUAAUCUUAUAAUAUCCUGGGGGAAACAGUGUGGCGGUUUCUUAUAAAGUAACCCAAGAGGAAUGAAAAAACACAUCCACAAACAAAUUUUACAAAAAUGUUCACAUCAAGUUUAUUAAUAGUAGCUACAGGCUGGAAACAACCCAAAUACCCUCCAAUAUGGAAAGGAUAAAUUGAGGUAUGUUAAUAGAAUGGACUAAUACUCAGCAAUAAUAAGGAAAUGAACGACGGAUGUAAGCAACAACAUGGGUAAAUUGAGAAGCCAGACGCAGAAGAAUGCCUCUCAUAUGAUUGUAUUUAUGGAAUUCUAAGACAGGCAGAACUAAUUGAUAGUGACAGAAUGCAGAGCACUGGCUGACUCAGGCCAGGGCUGUAAAAGGGUGGCAAAUAUGCUCUAAAUCUUGAUUGCGGCUGUGGUUACAUGGAUGCAUGCUUAUUGGACUUUAACGUACACUUUGAACAGAUGCAUUUCAUUAUGUGUACGUUAUGCCUCAAUAAAGAUGACUUAGUUAAACACAAAACAAGAAUGAAGACCAGAUCCUUGUCUUGCCUACGGUCUAGUAGAAAUGCCAGACAUGAAAACAAACAAUCAUCAAUGGCAGGGUCAGUGUUAGAGGAAGUACACCCCAACAGGAACUGCCCUGUUCAAGGUGAGCUGCCUCACCUUGUGCAGGCCUGUGCCAGUGCUCUGGAUGCAGUCUUAAAACAGCCUUAAGGUUCGGAUGAUCAUCCCCCUCACAUUAUAUGGGAGAAAAGAGACUUAGAGACAGAUAAAGUAAUGUGUCCAAGGCCACUCAGCUAGAAUUAUCGAGCUGGGACUUUCCUCCAGGUUGGCCUGAUUGCAGAGUCUGUACUCAACCACCUGCGACAAGAAAGGUAUCACCACGAGGAAGCAGCUUGGGGAUUGCUGCAGCAUCGCAGCCACAACUAUGCAGAGGAGGAAUUUAAGUCUGAGUUGGAAUCUACCACACAGAGAAGAGGAUGAGGGGAAGGGAAUUUCAAGGCGAAGGGAACAAACUUCACCAUCAGCAAAGGUUAUGCAAAAGUUGUGAAAGGGCAGAGGUUUCCGGGAAUGGAGAGACAUGUUCAGAGAACAGCAGAUGAGAUCCGGAGAAUAUUACAGACUCUUCAAAUUUAUUUUUAUUUUUUAAAUCCAUUUUUUUUUAAUAUUUAUAUUUUAGUUUUUGGCGGACACAACAUCUUUGUUUGUAUGUGGUGCUGAGGAUCGAACCCGGGCCACACGCAGGCCAGGCGAGCGCGCUGCCACUUGAGCCACAUCCCCAGCCCUUAAAUCCAAUUUUAAAGUAACACAUUUAUUAAAGGCAAUGGCUGUGCAGAGCAGGCAGGUGAAAUGAACUACUUUUCUUUCUGAACUGUUCAUGAACACAAAGAAAUAAUCCACAAAUCUAAGGUUGUCUAUUCUCAAUAAAUGGGGCACAUGUUGUUAUAUUUCUCUUCCUCCAGAAACUUAAAGCUACAUUCAAUGUUACAGGAUUUUUGCUGAGCAGGAUUUGUGGCAAUAUUUCAUGGUUCUCAGGAAAAAAAUCCUCUGUUUUUAUGAUGGGCUUUCUAAGUGGAUAAAUUGAAAUCACUGCAGUUAGACAAAAACAUUCCAUUGUCAUAGCAUAAUUUUUUUAGGAAACACAGUGUGGUGGUUGUUAGUCAGCUUUACUAUAACAAAAUACUUGAGAUAGUUAACUUAUAAGAGAAAAGCAGCUGGAAGUAGUUCAGUGGUAGGGCACUGACCUCUCAUUUGCAAGGUCCUGGGUUCAAACCCCAGACACACACACACACACACACACAAUUUUAUUUUGGUUCGUGGCUCUGGAAGAUCUAGUCCAAGAUCAGGAGCACCCUUUGCUUUGGAAUUCUAGGACAGGCAAAACUUAUUAAUGCAGCGCUUUAUGGAGGUGCAAGGUGAAGCAAACUGCAUAAGCCACGAAGCAAAGAGAAAGGGGAAGAGGCUUGGGUUCCACAACUGCUUUCAUGAGCAGGCCCCCAGGGACUUCAGGACCUCCCACAAGGUCCCACAUCCUAAGGUCCCAUCACCUCCCAACAGAGCCACCUCAGGACCCAGCCUUAACAUAUGGGCCUUUGGGGGAUAUUCAGCAUUCAAACCAUAGUAGUGAUUGAGACCAUCAGCUUUCGGUCAGAUUGUGUUCAGAUCUCAAUGCUUUCACUUAAAAAUUCCUUUAACCGUUUUGCACUUUGGCUUCCUCAGCUGCAAAGUGGUGAGGGGGUAGUGACAGGCUGUGUGAGACUCAAAUAAGACAGCAUAUGAAAGGUGCCACGCAUCCCUGGCACAGAGUAAACACCUCACGUAUGUGAGCUAUUGCUGCUUCAGGACGGCAACUUGCACAUGUCAAAUUGUUUUAUGUAUUUUGUCAUGAUCCACUAUUCCAGGGAACUAUCAUUGUAUAUAUAAAGAAGAUAUGGGAAAUAUCAAUAUCAUUUAGGAUGAUUUUGACUCUAACAGAUACCCAACUUAAAAUGACUUAAACAAAAUUUCCUUUUAAAAUCUCACAUUCUGAAUUUCACCAAAUCUAAGAUGUAAUUGCUCAGAAGACACAUCCUACAUUCAGAAGUAUUAAAAUGUAAAAAUGUGUCUCUGAAUCAAAACAGGAGAUCUGAAGGUCAGGGGUUUAAGGAAUGUCUAUUUCAGCAGUUCAAUGGCAUCUUUCCACUCUGUCUUCACAGGCCUUUGACUCUUACUUUGAAGAAGCCUCAUGGAUGCAAGACGUCUGCAGCAAUACUCAGCAUCACAUCUUUACUAUGUCCCAAAGCCAGAAGAGAAGCUACCCUAUUUAAAAGCAAUAUUUUCCCAACUUGACCAGAAUUGCACUGCAAUUGAUGGAGGAAGAACAGCUUCCAGACGGCUCCUGAUAGUGCCCAUGUCCAGGUGUACUUCCUAUGAAAUUGCCAGUGCAACUGCUCCAAGUGUAAGCAGCCAUCUGUUUGGGAUUCCACCUAUCCUCCUUCAUGUUCUUAUUCAUAAAAUUAAAGAUUCCUUUCCUGAUUAAGAAGUCAAUCUUGAUGUUGUAAAGACUCUG
rnacentral:lncRNA from 1 species